AGUCGCCUGAGAAUUUCUGACCAUCUUCAUCCCAGUAUGACCACAGUGGACUCAUCUGGUGGAUAUUUCACACUAAGUCAUCUGAUCUCAAACUGGUUCCUAAACUGGGAGGAUCACCAGUUAACUGGAUCUUAGAGCAUCAGAGCCGCUGAAACCUCAUCACCAUAAUCAGUCUCAGUAGUUUCUGGUUGGCUGCAGCACCGACUCACUAACUUUAGCUGGUUUCUCAGUCAGAAAUCACCUCACUGGCUGAACCUCACCUUCAGCAGCAACCAGUUUCUCUCUGGCUCCUCCCACCACUGCUGAGCUCAGCCAAUGAGAAGGCUCGUCUCUAACAGCAGCUUGAUGAUGAUGAUGAAGGUCUGUUAGUCUUCCUUCUGCUGCAGUGGAUCAUCUCUGUAGAUCUGCUGUCUGUCCUGAACUCCUGGAACAUGUUGCUGUACCUCCUGCUCUUCUCUCUCUACAUCGCCAUGGGCUCCAUGAACACCGUCACACAGGAGCAGAGGGAACACGUCGCUUCAGAGGGAAGCCCCACCAGUUUGAGCUGCGGAUAUACUGGUUCUAUCUAUAAUGUCCAGUGGUACCGACAGCAGCACGGAUCCAGACCAGAGUUCCUGCUCCACAUCACAGAGUCGGGAUCGAUCCAUCCAACUCGCUCCGAUUUCUCAGCUCACAUCGAUAAAACUCAGAAACGAGGAACUCUGCUGAUCUCCUCUGCUGCAGUGACAGACUCUGCUGUGUACUACUGCGCUGUGGCGCCCACAGUGACAGGAAACACCAGAACCCUGUACAAAAACCUGCAGUACUCCACAGCAGCCACUAGGCGGCCACUAGAGGAGGAGUUCUUCACCGUUUUGACCUCUGGGCCCGUUUAUAUAUUUACUAUCUAUUGUUUUACCAACCGACUUGACUUUUGUUCAAUGUAAAAAUCAAAUUCAAGUAUGGUUUUCCAAGCAAGAAUAUUAAAUAUAAUUGCCUCUUAAGGUGAUACUCAUAAUAAAUUUAUUUAUCAUCUUCUCAUAAAACAACUUUCUGAACAGGCCAUGGAACGGAUCAAACUGCACCAAGAGUAAAAUUAAAGGCUCAUGUUUGGCCUCUGAUACCGCGGCGUAUAGAAGCUGAAAGAUUAAAAAAGGAAGAAAAUAUUUCUGCCAAAGAAUUCUCACAUUUUGAGAUUACUCUUAGAAAAGUUGUAGAAAAAACACAUUUCUGUGAGGAUUUGGUUGUUCUGUGUGUUAAUUGAGGUUUCUGUGUCAGUUGAGUCUCUGUGUUGUCUCGUCUACCCCUCAUUGAUCCCAGCUGUCUUCUUUCCUCGUCUUUACUGUCAGCUAAUGUCAUCGUCUCUAGAUGUGUUACUGCUCUUGCUACCAGUCCUGAGCUCCAAGCCUUCUGCUCACCUGUGCUGCCUGGAUUGUGUUUUUCUUCAUUAAAACCAUCAACAUUAUUCAACAACUUGGGUCCUCUGCUUCCAUCCUCACCACUACAACUGCAAACCAUGACAAUUUCUGAGU